rnacentral:rRNA from 1 species
ACAAUGUAGAGUUUGAUCCUGGCUCAGGAUGAACGCUAGCUACAGGCUUAACACAUGCAAGUCGAGGGGCAGCAGGGAGAUAGCUUGCUAUCUUUGCUGGCGACCGGCGCACGGGUGAGUAACGCGUAUCCAACCUACCCCGUACUCAGGGAUAGCCCGUUGAAAGACGGAUUAAUACCUGAUGUUCUCCUUUAUCGGCAUCAUUAUUGGAGCAAAGAUUUAUCGGUACGGGCUGGGGAUGCGUCUGAUUAGCUUGCCGGCAGGGUAACGGCCUACCGGGGCAACGAUCAGUAGGGGUUCUGAGAGGAAGGUCCCCCACAUUGGAACUGAGACACGGUCCAAACUCCUACGGGAGGCAGCAGUGAGGAAUAUUGGUCAAUGGAGGCAACUCUGAACCAGCCAAGUAGCGUGCAGGAUGACGGCCCUAUGGGUUGUAAACUGCUUUUAUGCGGGGAUAAAGGAGCCUACGUGUAGGCUUUUGCAGGUACCGCAUGAAUAAGGACCGGCUAAUUCCGUGCCAGCAGCCGCGGUAAUACGGAAGGUCCGGGCGUUAUCCGGAUUUAUUGGGUUUAAAGGGAGCGUAGGCGGUCUGUUAAGCGUGUUGUGAAAUGUGGGUGCUCAACAUCUGCACUGCAGCGCGAACUGGCGGACUUGAGUUGGCUGAAAGUAUGCGGAAUUCGUGGUGUAGCGGUGAAAUGCUUAGAUAUCACGAAGAACUCCGAUUGCGAAGGCAGCAUGCUGUAUCCUUACUGACGCUGAAGCUCGAAGGUGCGGGUAUCGAACAGGAUUAGAUACCCUGGUAGUCCGCACGGUAAACUAUGGAUGCCCGCUGUUGGCGAUAUAUUGUCAGCGGCCAAGCGAAAGCGUUAAGCAUCCCACCUGGG